rnacentral:misc_RNA from 1 species
AUUGCAUUUAAGUGGAUCUAAUCAGACUGCUUAAUAAACGAUAAUAACAAUAACUUAAACCAGGGGGUAUGGCAAUUGUUAUUAAAAACCAAAGAUUUUUCUUAUAGUUGUGAUCAUAUAUCUGAGCAUGCGUGUGCAUGUCCUGUUUUCCAUGACUAAUAGUAGAAGUUGAUCACUCAGCUUACCAACAAAUUAAAUUCUCAAAAGA